AAAGAAGUGUGGCAGUAGAAAGGUAAUGAGUAGCAAAAGAUUUGUCAGGUUGCAGUGGAAGAAAGAGGAGGAGACAGGAGGCCUAUGAUUCAAUCGCUUUUUGCAUAUAAUAUAAUAUAUGGAGAUGGACUUGUGUUUGCCAAAAUCUAAGUCUGGCUUUUCCGCAAGAUCUAAUAGCCAUAACCCUAAAAUCAAUCACCAGCUUUUCUUCUUAUCUCAUCGCUCCAACCAUCACCUUUCUCCAGAAGAGCAUUUGAAAGUUUGCAGAACUGUGAAGGAACUUCAAUCUAUAUAUUGACAAUGAGUCAACCUAAAAUCAAGCGUAGAGUGGGUAAAUAUGAGGUGGGAAGAACAAUUGGUGAGGGAACAUUUGCAAAAGUAAAGUUUGCCAGGAACUCCGAGACAGGGGAGCCUGUGGCUCUGAAGAUUCUUGACAAAGAGAAGGUUCUUAAACACAAGAUGGCUGAACAGAUCAAGCGAGAGAUAGCAACAAUGAAGCUUAUAAAGCAUCCAAAUGUUGUUUGUUUAUAUGAGGUGAUGGGAAGCAAGACAAAGAUAUUCAUUGUCUUGGAGUUUGUUACUGGGGGAGAGCUUUUUGACAAAAUUGUAAACCAUGGACGGAUGAGAGAAGAUGAAGCUCGGAGAUAUUUCCAGCAGCUUAUUAACGCAGUUGAUUACUGCCACAGUAGGGGUGUCUACCACAGAGACCUGAAGCCAGAAAAUCUGCUGUUGGAUGCUUAUGGGAACCUCAAAGUUUCUGAUUUUGGACUAAGUGCAUUGUCCCAACAAGUCAGGGAUGAUGGUCUACUUCAUACUACUUGUGGAACUCCAAAUUAUGUUGCUCCUGAGGUUCUUAAUGAUAGAGGUUAUGAUGGGGCAACUGCAGACAUGUGGUCUUGUGGAGUGAUACUUUUUGUACUGCUUGCAGGGUACUUGCCUUUUGAUGAUUCUAAUCUUAUGAACCUGUAUAAAAAAAUUUCUGCAGCUGAGUUCACUUGCCCCCCUUGGCUUUCUUUUGGUGCCAUGAAAUUAAUCACUAAAAUUUUGGAUCCUAAUCCUAUGACUGUAAGUAAUUGUACUUUAUCAACUUUAUUACUUGUUCUUUACUACAUUAAAUAACUUGUGGUUGAUAACUUUGAUUUUCAAAAAAUAAGAGAGAUAUCUACUGUAUUGCCUCUACUUAGAUGUUAUUGAAAUUGAAUGGAGCUGAAGCUCACAAUCUAUGCAUUAGGCCAACAUCGGUGGAAAUGGUGACAUGUAUCUAGGAAUAUUGUAGUUUAUAUCCAUUAUUAGUAAUGCAUCCACUUGUUGCUUCUGCAAAGUUACAUUUCAACAUGUUUAUAAUAUUUCUGUUGGGUGGAGGAUGGCUAGUCAGAUUUGAUUCUGGCUUUUCGCAUUUAUAAGCUUAGCACACACUUUGAAAAAUUGAAAAUUUUCAUAGUUCUUUUUUAAUUUAAUUGAGCUACAAUCUCUCGGAGUGAUUUGUAAGGGUGCAAGUGAUGAAGCUGAUGCUAGAAGUUUGAGCUUUCAAAUCAAUGCUUUUGUUAGCCGCCAGGCAUAGCAAAAUUACUAUUAAUUACAAUUUUAUAUUAUUUUAUAAAUUUAUUUUAGUGAUUUUUCUUAUUUUUCAUUUGGUUUGUCUCUGAUUUACAAUUUAUAUCUAUGGCAGCGCAUCACUAUACCUGAAAUCUUGGAAGAUGAAUGGUUUAAGAAAGAUUAUAAGGCCGCUGUAUUUGAGGAGAAAGAAGACACCAACUUGGAUGAUGUUGAAGCUGUUUUUAAGGACUCAGAAGAACAUCAUGUAAUGGAGAAGAAGGAAGAACAGCCAACAGCUAUGAAUGCAUUUGAGUUGAUUUCUAUGUCAAAAGGACUAAAUCUCGGGAAUUUGUUUGAUACAGAACAGGUUUUCAUGUUAGAAUGCUUUCUUUAUGUUAUACUUUUUAAACUGUACUUCAAAAUGGAUUGAUUCUUUCCAUGUGUGUGCAUGUGCAUGCACUAUGCAAAAGGACGAAUGGUAGUGCAGCAAACAUCCCCUCCCUGCUUCUGAGGAAUUAAGGGUUGAUGCUAAAGUAUUGUUCUGUUUACAGGCGGGUAAAUCCAGUAGUCAGGAUGUGUGUGUCUGCAUUAUAGGACUACGUGCAGGCAUGUGUAUGCUUUUCUUUGAUUCUGUUGUAAUUUGAGCAUUUCACAGAUAGGUGAGGUCACUAAUUCAACCAAUAAUCAUGCAUGCACAUGGCAAGGGGAUGUUUGAAAUAAUCCAGGUUCUCUGAUUGCUGCUAGACUAUAUGUUCCCAUGUUAAUUCAUUGAAGGCACAGUAGCAGAGAAUUAUUCUUUCUAACCUUGUUCAAGGUGAUUUCAUGACCAGCACAGGUUUUUAAUUCUUGCGAGAAAUAUUAAGUGGGUCCAUGCAACCUCUGAAAUUAUGAACUAUAAGAUUGAGAAUUUGGGUCAUUGUCUAUUGUGAACUAAUCUCAAAGUGUCGUUGGUUUCAUAAGAAGAUAUACAUAGUUUCUGUGGUUGCUAUCCUUCUUAGGUGGCGGAAUAUAUAAUUGGCUUGUGGCAACAAAUUUUUGGGAUUGAUUUAAAUGACUGAAACUUGAAACUUGAAUCUUGUGUUAUUCUCUGUUCAUAUUUUGUGACUAAUGGUUGGCUACAGGGAUUCAAGAGGGAAACAAGGUUCACAUCUAAAUGCCCUGCUAAUGAGAUAAUCCAUAAGAUUGAAGAAGCUGCAAAGCCUCUUGGUUUUGAUGUUCACAAGAAAAACUACAAGAUGAGGCUUGAAAAUAUGAAAGCUGGGAGAAAGGGAAACCUUAAUGUUGCCACUGAGAUUUUCCAAGUGGCGCCUUCUCUACAUAUGGUUGAAGUGCGGAAAGCAAAAGGAGACACUUUGGAAUUCCAUAAGGUACCGUUUCUCUUAUUCUUGAAUUUCUUUUUAAAGGGAGAUGAACUGUGAUUUGAUGUGAAUUUUUUUCUUCAGUUUAUUCAUUAGUAAUUUCUAUUAAAGGGCUUCUUAAUAGUGUAUGUUUCAUUGGUUUAAAAUGAAGAUGAUCUUAAGAAUGCCAUUAGUUGAUUCCUCUAUGUGGGUUGGAGUUUGGCCUACCAAUCAAGACCCAUUAAGGUUCAACUUGAUAGGAUUGCGUUGUCAUUGUUGAAGGAGAGAUUUGAAUUGGGAAUUACAGGGUUUGAUGUCACAGGGGAAAAAAGCUUGGCUUAUCAAAAGAAAGAAACAAUAGCUAAACCAAUGUGAAAAUAAAGAUAUAGAAAUGCUCCAGACCACGCAGAUAAUCAAAAGAAGUGCAACUUCGAAAGAGGGAGAGCAAUGGGAGUGCAUUUUCAAACUGAAACAGUUAAACACAAAAUUAAUUCCAUUAUCAAAAUUACAAGAAAAUUCGAAAGGCACUGAAAUAUUUAUUCAUUUGAUGAGGGAAAAUAUAUUUUACUAGAAUGAGGCGUCAAAUGAGUUGCCCUUUGUGUGCCUUCAGGAUACUCAAUUUUAAAUCUAUAUCCAAAAAAUAAAUGCUGCUUACAAAAGCACUCCUUUCAAGAUCAAACACAUCAUCAACCAAACAUGAACGAUAAAUAGCCGCCUUUUUUUAAUUUCUCAGAGAGGAUUCUUUCAUCUCAAAAGCUUUCAGAUUCUACUUUUGUCAUGUUAUCCACCAUAUGGCCAGAGGUGGCACCCAUACCCUAUUAUUCCUCGGCCAAUGAACUGAUCCUCUCGCCGCUAUACUUGAAAAAGAAAAGGGUUUGGAACUUGGACAAAGUGCUGUUCAGAGUUUGGAUCUUGUUCCCUGGUACAAUAUAUCUGGUCCAACACCUAAAAGUUAAGUCAGCUGAUUGGAAUUAAGCAAUUUUCUGAAAGCUUGACCUUUUGAAACGCUUAUAAUUAUGAAUCCAAUGUUAUAAUCAUGUUUAUCAGGUUAUCAUUUUGUUUACAUUUUACAGAAUCUGCUGUUCAAGUUGGUUAUCUUUUUGUUUAUUUGAUGUUUUUUCUGCAGUUCUAUAAAAAUCUUUCAACCUGCCUCGAUGAUGUUGUCUGGAAAACUGAGGAUGACAUGCAAGAAAUGAAGUAAAAAUAGGGCCCCUGUCUUGAAGAGAUCAGAUCACCAUCUUUUGUUUAUGUUGCCUUGCCAAUUGUGUCAUUCUUGUUCUAUAUAUAUCUUCAUUCUUUACCACCCUCGUUUCCUGGGACCAUUUUCUACUCUGUACAAUUUGAGAGACAUGUCUUCACCAAUUGUUUUCCUCGCUAUUAUUGUUGGAAAGCAUGGAAAAUUCUCCUUGUUUGGUUUUCUCAUUUACUGGAAGAUGUUAAAAACGAGAGAUUUGGCAAAUUAAAGUGUUUAUAUGUGUUUCCUUUUUGGUAUGUGUACCGCUUCUUUUCUUGGAAAUUAUUGCCAUCAGUUUUUUUCUGUUGGUUUCCUUUCUGUGCUCUUUUCUUUGUUCUUUACAAAACUUCUGAAGAUUAUGUGUUAUUGUGUCAAGUGUAAGGUUUUAACUUUGAAGAUUCAGAUCAGGAAGUUUUUAUGCUUGGAAGUCACUUUGGAAA
rnacentral:misc_RNA from 1 species